UACGGAGGGUGCGAGCGUUGUCCGGAAUCACUGGGCGUAAAGGGCUCGUAGGUGGCCAACUAAGUCAGACGUGAAAUCCCUCAGCUUAACUGGGGAACUGCGUCUGAUACUGGAUGGCUUGAGUUUGGGAGAGGGAUGCGGAAUUCCAGGUGUAGCGGUGAAAUGCGUAGAUAUCUGGAGGAACACCGGUGGCGAAGGCGGCAUCCUGGACCAACACUGACACUGAGGAGCGAAAGCCAGGGGAGCAAACGGG
rnacentral:rRNA from 1 species